GUGGGGAAUUUUGGACAAUGGGGGAAACCCUGAUCCAGCCAUGCCGCGUGGGUGAAGAAGGCCUUCGGGUUGUAAAGCCCUUUCGGACGGAAAGAAAUCGCACAGUCUAAUAAGCUGUGUGGAUGACGGUACCGUAAGAAGAAGCACCGGCUAACUACGUGCCAGCAGCCGCGGUAAUACGUAGGGUGCGAGCGUUAAUCGGAAUUACUGGGCGUAAAGCGUGCGCAGGCGGAUGCUUAAGCCAGAUGUGAAAUCCCCGGGCUUAACCUGGGAAUUGCAUUUGGAACUGGGCAUCUAGAGUGCGGCAGAGGGGGGUGGAAUUCCUGGUGUAGCAGUGAAAUGCGUAGAGAUCAGGAGGAACACCGAUGGCGAAGGCAGCCCCCUGGGCCGACACUGACGCUCAUGCACGAAAGCGUGGGGAGCAAACAGGAUUAGAAACCCGAGUAGUCC
rnacentral:rRNA from 1 species